UUUUUUCCAAUACAUUUGAAUUUAAGAGAUCAUCAAAAAUUAUUCUUGUAUAUAAACCUCAUGGUAAUCACAAACCAAAAAUUUAUAAUAGAUACAUACAAAAAAUAAUACAAACAUAAUACUAAAGAUAGUCAUAGAUCACAAAAGAAAAAAAAAGAAAAAAGGAAUAAAGAACUACAAAACAACCAGAAAACAAUGAACAAAAUGGCAAUAAGUACAACAUACAUAUCAAUACUUACUUUAAAUGUAAAUGGACUUUAUGCUCCAAUCAAAAGACAAAGAGACUGAAUGGAUACAAAAACAACACCCAGGAGCUCCCACUGCGGCUCAGCAGAAACGAAUCUGACAAGUAUCCAUGAGGACACAGGUUCGAUCUCUGGCUUCACUCAGUAGAUUAAGGAUCCAGCAUUGCUAUGAACUGUGGUGUAGGUCACAGACAUGGCCUGAAACCCGAGUUGCUAUGGCUAUGAUGUAGGCCAGCAGCUACAGCUCCAAUGUGACCACUAGCCUGGGAACCUCCAUAUGCCGUGAGUGUGGCCCUAAAAAGACAAAAAACAAAAGCAAAACGAACAAAAAAAACUCCACCCAUAUAUAUGCUGCCUAUAAGAACUCACUUGAGCUGUAGAAACACACACAUACUGCAAGUGAGGAGAUAGAAAAAGGUAUCCAUGCAAAUGGAAAAAAAAGAAAGCCAGGGUAGCAACACUUAUAUCAGACAAAAAUAGACUUUCAAACUAAGACUGUAACAAAAGACAAAGAAGGAUGUUACAUGAUAACAAAGGGUUCAAUCUAACAAGAAUAUGUAACAAUUGUAAAUAUACAUUCGCCCAACCUAGGAGCACCUAAAUCUAUACAGCAAAUAUUAACAAACAUAAAGAGAGAAAUCGACAGAAACAUAAUAAAGCCAGCACCUAGAUGCCACACCCAGACAAAGGCACUACAAAAGAGGAAAAUUUCAGACCAACAUCAUUGAUGAACAAUUGGUGUAAAAAUCCUCAACUGUUAACAGAAAUAAAUGUUGAGUUCCUAAUAUGGCAUGCUUCCUUUGUGGGAACAGUCACCCACUGGGCAACGGGUUGAUUUCCUUAGAAAUCAGCAUGGAAAGGGCAGCAAUUUGUUUUCACUGGAUUAUAUAUUAUACUGGAUAGAUAUAUGCUUUCCCUGGCCACAGCACUUCUGCCAACAACACCAUAUUCAAUUAUAGCUGAAUAGAUUCACCUCAGUUCAGAUUCAGUGACAACAUCUUGAAGGGCUGAUGUACCCUCAUACAAAAUGUGCUGUGUUCUAAACCAGUAACAAUCUACAAUACUAUUUCUCUCAUAGCCAGAAUAUGAUUUUUUCUCUUUUUCUACUCUUCUACAUGAGUCAUAAUGGCAGAUAUUAAAAUUUUAAUUUUAGGUUACAUGAUAUGAAAGGAUGACUGUGAUUAUAUUAGAAAAAGAAUGAUUAUUACCCAGCUAUAGCUAGUGACUCAUGGAAUGCUGAGUCUCCACUUUUGGGGGGAGAAGGCAGAUGUUUUUCUUUGAAGAAUUGAUGGCUCAUUACAUUAGGUAGAACUAGGAUGUUUUGCUACUACUUUUGUAUGGAAGAUAAAUAUGGGCAGAAGAGAUUGUAAGAAUGUUGAGUAAAACCCAACGGCUGAGUGGUGCCAUAUUGUCUGCUGUUAACUCAGUCUAUCCCCACUCUUUUCUGUCCUUUCCUCUUUAAGAGGCUGGAAGGAUAACUACAUGGCCAAGAAUUGCUUGCCAAUAAGCUUCCAAUUUAUAGGCAAUGAGACUGAUUUCUGAAUGUUAAUCUUUUAUCCUGCUACUUUGCUGACUUUGUUGAUCAGUUCCAGUAGUUUCUGGAUUGAGUCUUUAGGGUUUUCUAUAUAUAGUAUCAUGUCAUCUGCAUACAGUGACAAUUUUACCUCUUCUUUUCCAGUUUGGAUACAUUUUAUUUCUUUUGUUUGUCUGACUGCUGUGGCCAGGACUUCCAAUACUAUGUUGAAAAAAAGUAGUGAGAUUGGGCAUCCUUGUUUUGUUCCAGAUUUUAAUGGAAAGGCUUUCAGCUUUUCUCCAUUGAGUACUAUAUUUGCUGUGGGUUUGUUGUAAAUGGCUUUUAUUAAGUUAUGCUAUGUUCCCUCUGUACCCACUUUGGUAAGAGUUUUUACCAUGAAUGGAUGUUGGACUUUGUCAAAUGCUUUUUCUGCAUCUAUUGAGAUGAUCAUGUGGUUUUUGACUUUUCUUUUGUUAAUGUAAUGUAAAGUUGCACCCCAAAAAAUCAAAUACCUGGGAAUAAACCUGACCAAGGAAGCGAAAGACUUAUAUGCUGAGAACUAUAAAACAUUAAUCAAGGAAAUUAAAGAAUAUGCAAAGAAGUGGAAAGAUAUUCCAUGCUCCUGGGUUGGAAAAAUUAAUAUUAUAAAAAUGGCCAUACUGGAGUUCCCGUCGUGGCUCAGUGGUUAAUGAAUCUGACUAGGAACCAUGAGGUUGCGGGUUCUAUCCCUGGCCUUGCUCAGUGGGUUAAGGAUCUAGGUUAAGGAUCCAGCGUUGCCUUGAGCUGUGGUGUAGGUUGCAGACGCGGCUCGGAUCCCGCGUUGCUGUNNNNNNNNNNNNNNNNNNNNNNNNNNNNNNNNNNNNNNNNACCCAAAGCAAUCUACAGAUUCAAUGCAAUCCCUAUCAAAUUACCCAUGACAUUUUUCACAGAACUACAACAAACAAUCCAAACAUUUAUAUGGAACCACAAAAGACCCAGAAUUGCCAAAGCAAUCCUGAGGAACACAAACCAAGCAGGAGGCAUCACUCUCCCAGACUUCAGGCAAUAUUACAAAGCCACAAUCAUCAAGACAGUGUUGUACUGGCACCAAAACAGACAUACAGACCAAUGGAACAGAAUAGAGAACCCAGAAAUAAACACAGACACCCACGGUGAAUUAAUCUUCAACAAAGGAGGCAAGAAUAUUAAAUGGGGAAAAGACAAUCUUUUCAGCAAGUGGUGCUAGGAAAACUGGACAGUCACAUGUAAAUCAAUGAAACUGGAACACACCCUCAUACCACCCUCAUACCUCAUGAACAAAAAUAAACUCAAAAUGGUUUAAAGACUUAUAUGUAAGACAAGACAACAUCAAACUCCUAGAAGAGAACAUAGGCAAAACAUUCUCUGAUAUCAACCAUACAAAUGUUUUAUCAGGUCAGUCUCCCAAAGCAUCAGAAAUAAAAGCAAAAAUAAACCAAUGGGACCUAACCAAUUUAUAGGCAAUUAGGAAGAUGGAAGAGAAAUAUAAACCAUCAUUUCUCCUCUCAAGAAGGUAGAUGUAUUGGCAAAAGGCAAAUGCUAAGUUUGUAAUAUCUUUUGGAUGAACUUCUGCAUAUAACCCAAUUCAGUGCUACAGGCAGCUGAGAUAUGGCAAGCGUUACCAUGAUUCUCUGCUUCCUGUGUUUCUGUAAGGCAGUGCCAGUUCUCCCUUGACUCUCACGUCCCCUCCCCUUUCAAUGACUUUAUAAGCAUCAAUUCCUAUAUUAAAGUGCUUGUACUAAAAUUCCUUAACUUGAGCUAUUUCAUUUUCUUUUAUUAACAGUAACCUUUUGCUCUUACUACCUGCCCUUUGUUGCAAAACUCCUAUAUAUCCCAGCUCUCACUCUUCCUAUAUUUUCUCUGAGCAGUCUCUUAGAAUUAUCUGAAAUGCUGUGUCCCAGUCUUAAGUCCUCGGUUGUGUCCACCGAAUAAAACCUAACUCUCACCUUUUAGGUCGUGAAUAUUUUUUUGACAACAUGUUAUUACAUUUUUAUUUGAUUUUCUCCCAUUAAUAUGUCUUCUAUCAAUAAAAUUCUUAGACCAGAUAGAAGCUACAAGAAUCUUUCUCGUGAAGGAAGAAAUGUCUUCCUUCCAGACAGUCUCCUUCUAUCACCUAGUUCUGAAGAAGGAUUGCUUUUAUUCUAGGUAAUUCACAGGGGUCUUUAUGAAUAUGCUCCUUCAGUUACUGUCUUGUUAGGGAAAAAAGGUUUAGUCUGGUAAAUUUGAAGACCUAAUUGGCUUAUUAAACAAUUCAUGGUUUGGGCAGCAUCUCAUCUGGCUAGCUGAGAGAUACUCAGAGGAAAUGCACAAAAUGGAAGGUUUUUAUAGGCAGAAAAAGGAUGUAAAAAGAGUGGGUUAUUUCAGGCAAGGUGACCUUCCCUUAGGGGAAGGCAGGGGAUCUUGGGCAGAUGGCCUCACUAGUGCUGACCAGGAAUUCCAGAUUGACUUGUUUAAAAUUCCAGUCCUGGGAGGGACUGAAACAGCAAAUACAUCUUGGUUUGCAGGUGUGUGGCAAGUGACUCUAUCUAGUGCCUAUUGCUUCUUUCAUGAAGAAGGAACAAAGAGCAUUACUCAUCUCUCACAUGGUAAGAAACCAAUUUCUCCGACAAUGGCCAAAGAGGACCUAAUGACGGCCAACAGCCAUGUGGGUAAGCUUUGAAGUGGCAUUUCUGAGGCUGCUGACAGUCAAAUGAGUGAGGCUGGAAAGGAUCCUCCCCAAAUACAUCCUUGAGAUGACUCCAGUCCUGGUCUGUCAGGUUACCUUGGUCCAGAGCCAAUGGAUCCUGCUAAGCUGCAUCCAGAUUCCUGACCCAGAGAAACUGAAGCAAAUGUUUCUCAUUCUAAGUGCUACGGUUUGGGGAUAAUUUGUUACAAGGCAAUAGAUAUUUAUCACAGUCAUAGAAGUUCUGAUUUUAGCUGAACAAACAGACUACCAGGAUAAAGACUACAUCUCUCAGCCUCUAAUAGUUAGAUAUGUCAUGUGACUGGGUUGUAGCCAACAGAAUGUGAGAGGUGAUGCAUGGAGUGUUCAGCCCAAGUCUUUGAAAAAAGUAGCUCUGCAUGCUUUAUACCCUCUUAGCCAUUUCUCUAGUUAAUACACAGAAAGUGAUAUUAAUGAUAGAGUUACAAGAUGGAAAAGCCUGGUUCCCUGAAUCAUGCAGAGGAGGGCUACCCACUGACCAGAAGCAUCCAUUUGACCUGUUCUGUGAGGGAGAAAUAAACCCAUUGUGUCUCUGUUGUUACAAUUUGAAGGUGUAUUUGUUACUACAGGCAAUUAUUCUAAUUAACACUUUUAUGUGAAAGGAAAAUAAACUUUUCUCUGGAGUAAACCACUAAUAUUUUGGGUGUCUGUCACAGAAAGCCUGACUUACAUCCUCUUCAAUAAGUAUACCUUAAGAAUUUUAUUUUUAACCUAAAUAUUUAUUCUCCAGUCACUAAGGCCUUUCUUUUGAGUAUGGUUCUUCUAACUGGAAUUCUGGGUAGUCUUUCUUGUAUAAACUAUACCUCUAGUGCCUUUGUAUUGAAUUUCCAGUUUCAUUUUGUUAAAAGUGGAGACAAAUAAAGACUCUUGCAAAGCAGAUUGAAUACAGACCCCUACUAGAUUUGGGGGACUUAAAAAACUUCUCUAGUCUGUUCAUCAACGAAUUAAAUAAAGUUGCAGGAUAUGAAAUUUAAAAAAAAAUUAAUACACAGAAAUCUUUUGCAUCCCCAUAUAUUAAAUGAUGAACUAUCAGAAAGAGAAAUUAAGGAAACAAUCCCACUUACAAUCAUAUGAAAGAAAAAAUCUAGGAAUAAAUCUAACUAAAGAGGUUAAAAAAAAAAAACAACCUGUACUCAAACACUAUAAGACACUAAUGAAAGAAAAUGAGAAUAAAACAAACUGAUGGAGAGAUAUACCAUGUUUAUGGAUUCAAAGAAUCAAUACUGUUAAAAUGACCACACUUCUUAAGGCAAUCUACAGAUUCAAUGCAAUCUCUAUUAAAAUACCAAAGCAUUUUUCAAAGAACUAGAAAAAUGUGUGUGGAAACACAAAAGACCCUGAAUAGCCACAACAAUCUUGAGAAAGAGGAACAGAACUGGAAGUAUCAUGCUCUCUGACUUCAGGCUAAACUACAAAGCUAUAAUAAUCAAAAGUAUGGCACUGGGACAAAAACAGACAUAUAGAUCAAUGGAACAGAAUAGAGAAAUAAACCCAUAUGCCAAUGGUCAAUUAAUAUAUGACAAAGGAGGAAAGAACAUACAAUGGAGAAAAGACAGUCUCUUCAAUAAGUGGUUCUGGGAAAACUGGAACCAGGGUAUGUAAAAGUAUGAAAUAGAGAGCAUUCUCUAAUACCAUAUAUAAACAUAAACUCAAAAUGGAUUAAAGCCCUAAAUGUAAGUCUGGAAACCAUAAAACUCCUAAAAGAAAACAUCAUUAGAACACUCUUUGAUAUAAACUGUAGCAGUAUUAUUUUUUUUAAGGCAAAGGGAACAAAAGCAAAAAAAAAAAAAA
rnacentral:lncRNA from 1 species